rnacentral:rRNA from 1 species
GACGAACGCUGGCGGCGUGCCUAAUACAUGCAAGUCGAGCGGAGUUGAUGAGGUGCUUGCACCUUUGAUACUUAGCGGCGGACGGGUGAGUAACACGUGGGUAACCUGCCUAUAAGACUGGAAUAACAUUCGGAAACGAAUGCUAAUACCGGAUACGCGAUAUGGUCGCAUGACUGAAUCGGGAAAGAUGGAGCAAUCUAUCACUUAUAGAUGGACCCGCGGCGCAUUAGCUAGUUGGUG